UUCCGGUUGAUCCCGCCGGACCCGACUGCUAUCAGAGUGGGACUAAGCCAUGCGAGUCAACGUAGCAAUACGUGGCAUACGGCUCAGUAACACGUAGUCAACAUGCCCAGGGGACGAGGAUAACCUUGGGAAACUGAGGAUAAACCUCGAUAGGCCAUGAUUUCUGGAAUGAUUCUUGGCUCAAACCUAUAUGGCCCCUGGAUUGGACUGCGGCCGAUCAGGCUGUUGGUGAGGUAAUGGCCCACCAAACCUAUUACCGGUACGGGCUCUGAGAGGAGGAGCCCGGAGAUGGGCACUGAGACAAGGGCCCAGGCCCUAUGGGGCGCAGCAGGCGCGAAACCUCUGCAAUAGGCGAAAGCUUGACAGGGUUACUCUGAGUGAUUUCCGCUAAGGGAAUCUUUUGGCACCUCUAAAAAUGGUGCAGAAUAAGGGGUGGGCAAGUCUGGUGUCAGCCGCCGCGGUAAUACCAGCACCCCGAGUGGUCGGGACGAUUAUUGGGCCUAAAGCAUCCGUAGCCGGUCCUGCAAGUCUUCCGUUAAAUCCAGCUGCUCAACAGAUGGGCUGCGGGAGAUACUACAGGGCUAGGAGGCGGGAGAGGCAAGCGGUACUUUAUGGGUAGGGGUAAAAUCCGCUGAUCCAUAGAAGACCACCAGUGGCGAAGGCGGCUUGCCAGAACGCGCUCGACGGUGAGGGAUGAAAGCUGGGGGAGCAAACCGGAUUAGAUACCCGGGUAGUCCCAG
rnacentral:rRNA from 1 species